GGCUGCGGCCAUAUCAUGCUGAAAGCGCCGUAUAUCGUCUGCUCUGCGAAGUUGAGUAGCCUCAAUCUCGGGUAGUACUCGAGUGGGUGACCGCCGGCGAAUUCCGAGUGCUGUCU
rnacentral:rRNA from 1 species